rnacentral:rRNA from 1 species
AUUGAACGCUGGCGGCAGGCUUAACACAUGCAAGUCGAACGGUAACGGGAAGAAAGCUUGCUUUCUUUGCUGACGAGUGGCGGACGGGUGAGUAAUGCUUGGGAAUCUGUUUCAUGGAGGGGGAUAACUACGGGAAACUGUAGCUAAUACCGCGUAAUAUCGAGAGAUUAAAUGUGUGGGACCGCAAGGCCACAUGCCAUGAAGUGAGCCCAAGUGGGAUUAGAUAGUUGGUGAGGUAAUGGCUCACCAAGUCGGCGAUCUCUAGCUGGUCUGAGAGGAUGACCAGCCACACUGGGACUGAGACACGGCCCAGACUCCUACGGGAGGCAGCAGUGGGGAAUAUUGCACAAUGGGCGCAAGCCUGAUGCAGCCAUGCCGCGUGAAUGAAGAAGGCCUUCGGGUUGUAAAGUUCUUUUGGUGGUGAGGAAGGUUGAUACGUUAAUAGCGUAUUGAUUUGACGUUAGCCACAGAAGAAGCACCGGCUAACUCCGUGCCAGCAGCCGCGGUAAUACGGAGGGUGCGAGCGUUAAUCGGAGUAACUGGGCGUAAAGGGCACGCAGGCGGUGACUUAAGUGAGGUGUGAAAGCCCUGGGCUUAACCUAGGAAUUGCAUUUCAUACUGGGUCGCUAGAGUAUUUUAGGGAGGGGUAGAAUUCCACGUGUAGCGGUGAAAUGCGUAGAGAUGUGGAGGAAUACCGAAGGCGAAGGCAGCCCCUUGGGAAUAUACUGACGCUCAUGUGCGAAAGCGUGGGGAGCAAACAGG